CUGAGGCGCCCAGGUAUCCUCACCUGGCCGCCAGCCUCCCGCAGGAAGAACAGACACGUUGGUUCCACACCGAACCUGUUAACAGCUUGACUUCAAAUAUUUGGUAAGUGAAACCUCACUGGAACGUCACACUUGUAAGAAUAUAGGUUGAUCUGUUGACUUCUGCUUUCCUGGGCCAUGUGUGAUUGGGAUGACAGGGACGUGUACUCAUGGUGCUUUCCACAACUCUUCAGCAAUGUGGAAAUGAAGCAUUUGUUGGAGGACUAUAUGAAGACACACAGAACAUCGAAUUCGUGUGACCUAAGAGAGCCACAUGUUCCCUGACUGGAGAUGGUCUCUGCUUUUCUUUAUGGUGUAUUUUUAAUACAUUGGUAUUUUUAA